ACGGAGGCAGCAGUGGGGAAUAUUUCACAAUGGGCGAAAGCCUGAUGCAGCGACGCCGCGUGAACGAAGAAGUAUUUCGGUAUGUAAAGUUCUAUCAGCAGGGAAGAUAAUGACGGUACCUGACUAAGAAGCACCGGCUAAAUACGUGCCAGCAGCCGCGGUAAUACGUAUGGUGCAAGCGUUAUCCGGAUUUACUGGGUGUAAAGGGAGCGCAGGCGGUGCGGCAAGUCUGAAGUGAAAUCCCGGGGCUCAACCCUGGAACUGCUUUGGAAACUGUCGUACUAGGGUGUCGGAGGGGUAAGCGGAAUUCCUAGUGUAGCGGUGAAAUGCGUAGAUAUUAGGAGGAACACCAGUGGCGAAGGCGGCUUACUGGACGAUAACUGACGCUGAGGCUCGAAAGCGUGGGGAGCAAACAGGAUUAGAUACCCUGGUA
rnacentral:rRNA from 1 species